AAUCCCUCACAGAGGCCUGAGGUCUCAAAUGAUGAUUUUGUACAGCAACAAAAGAAGCCCAUCAGAUACUCAGAGAUGAAAUUUAACCAGUGAAGUUACUAGAUAGGUGGACCUAGUUUAAAUAAGCUAUCAAGUUGUACAUUUUCCCAAGCAAAGUAUUUCAUUUGUGGGUGUAGCAAAAUUUGAGUACUACUUAUGGUGCUGCAGGCCUCCUUCCACGCCCUCUGUUGUCUCCAGUUGUUGAUCUGGUGCACUUUGGGCUGCCAUUGUACUCUGAAGUACUUUAGGUAUUAUGUGACAAACACCCUCCUUAUGCUGCUUUAUUCAAAGAAAAACAACACAGCUUGACGGGUGGUAGUUCAAUAUUCUAAUAGGCGGUUCUUUUGGCUUGGUUUUUAUCAUGAAGCGUGUGAGAAGUGUAUCUGGCUUCUUGAAAAAAAUUUAUGGAAAAGAACAAGAUAUUGUUGUGCAGCAGCUGUUUGCUUCGUGAGACUAAGGUUUUUUGUUCUAUUGGAUGGUUUUGGUUGUCUUUUUUGGUUCAUUUUAUGAUUAGUUGUCGUAAUUUUUGAGAAAUUUACUAAUGGUGCGAGGGUACAUUUGGUGACUGGAUUCUUAUAAAGUGAGAAAAAAAAUUGUAUUUGCUAUAAUGUUUUGUAAUAUUAGUUUUGCUUACAAGGACUUGGUGGCUAUAUUACCUUGUUCAACCACGUCAGCAAAAUUUUCAAUAAUAUCACAUUUUAUAGUUGUUUUUGAAACUGGAUAUAGUUGGGUGUUGACGUUUAAUUCAUGUGUAGGGUGCGUCUGGUUGUUUUGAAUUGUUUUUCUGGAUGAUCUUAUUUAGGAAUAUCCAGCUGCCUCGAGCUAUUGUUGUUGUCAUUGUCAUUGUCAUUGUCAUUGUCAUGCCUUGCAAUCGCAGGCUAUGGAUUUUGAGCCAUUGUUUGAACCAUUUUUCUACUUGAUUGCUUUGGUGGGUACUUCUUUGUUACCUUUGAACAAUGUACAAACUAACCAGUGAAGAAAUUUAAGUUUGGUUGGCAAGGGAUUCCAUGCGAAGCUUAGUGGGUUCUAUCAAAAAUCGAUCCCACAAGGCUGAAGUGGGAAAGAGGAGGAGGAACUUCUCACUUUGAUUAAAAGCAAGUUUUCGCAAACCCUGCAUCAUCCUUCGGAAUUCUCUGAAACGGUGGUUUCAUUUACCGCUAGGGUGAAGUCGUCGUGGACAGCUGAAAAUCCAGGAAAGAGGUUCUAUGGUUGCGCUUACUAUGAACAUAAUGGUGGCGGCGACUGUGGCUAUUUCAAGUAGUAUGAUACAGACAGUUGUGAGAGGUGCAAUAAAUUAGUGAGACACACAAUAAAAUUGACGAAGAGAUUAAGAGAAUUGGAGGCAAAGUUGGAAGAAACAAGACGCAAGGAGAAAAUGAUGAAAUUGUUGCUGUUUGCAGCGUUUGUUUUCGUAGUGCAGAAUUUGUUGAGUAAAGAUUGAGUUGUAACUAGCAUUUGUUGGCGCAGGUGGUGAACUGGGAACUGGGUGGCUUUUAUUUGCUGUAUUUAGGUUGGGUUAUGUUUAGUGGCCCUAUUGAUUGUACAAAUAAGAGUUGGAAUGUAAUAAUGAAGCUUAAGUUCU